GACGUAGGGGGCGAGCGUUGUCCGGAUUUAUUGGGCGUAAAGCGCGCGUAGGCGGCCUGUUAAGUCGGGUGUGAAAACCCGGGGCUCAACCCCGGGCCUGCAUUCGAUACUGGCAGGCUAGAGGCAGGUAGGGGAGAGUGGAAUUCCCGGUGUAGCGGUGAAAUGCGCAGAUAUCGGGAGGAACACCGGUGGCGAAGGCGGCUCUCUGGGCCUGUCCUGACGCUCAGGCGCGAAAGCUAGGGGAG
rnacentral:rRNA from 1 species